AGUGAACGCUGGCGGCAGGCCUAACACAUGCAAGUCGAACGGCAGCACAGUAAGAGCUUGCUCUUACGGGUGGCGAGUGGCGGACGGGUGAGGAAUACAUCGGAAUCUACUUUUUCGUGGGGGAUAACGUAGGGAAACUUACGCUAAUACCUCAUACGACCUACGGGUGAAAGCAGGGGAUCUUCGGACCUUGCGCGAUUGAAUGAGCCGAUGUCGGAUUAGCUAGUUGGUGGGGUAAAGGCCCACCAAGGCGACGAUCCGUAGCUGGUCUGAGAGGAUGAUCAGCCACACUGGAACUGAGACACGGUCCAGACUCCUACGGGAGGCAGCAGUGGGGAAUAUUGGACAAUGGGCGCAAGCCUGAUCCAGCCAUACCGCGUGGGUGAAGAAGGCCUUCGGGUUGUAAAACCCUUUUGUUGGGAAAGAAAAGCAGCAGGUUAAUACCCCGCUGUUCUGACGGUACCCAAAGAAUAAGCACCGGCUAACUUCGUG
rnacentral:rRNA from 1 species